rnacentral:rRNA from 1 species
GACAGAGGAUGCAAGCGUUAUCCGGAAUGAUUGGGCGUAAAGCGUCCGCAGGUGGUUUUGUAAGUCUGCUGUUAAAGCGUUAGGCUCAACCUAAUAAGGGCAGUGGAAACUAUGAGACUAGAGUAUGUUAGGGGUAGAGGGAAUUCCCAGUGUAGCGGUGGAAUGCGUAGAGAUUGGGAAGAACACCGGUGGCGAAAGCGCUCUGCUAGGACAAUACUGACACUGAGGGACGAAAGCUAGGGGAGCGAAUGGG